rnacentral:rRNA from 1 species
GAUGAACGCUGGCGGCGUGCUUAACACAUGCAAGUCGAACGAUGAACCUCACUUGUGGGGGGAUUAGUGGCGAACGGGUGAGUAACACGUGAGUAACCUGCCCUUGACUCUGGGAUAAGCCUGGGAAACUGGGUCUAAUACCGGAUAUGACCUUCCAUCGCAUGGUGGUUGGUGGAAAGCUUUUGUGGUUUUGGAUGGACUCGCGGCCUAUCAGCUUGUUGGUGGGGUAAUGGCCUAUCAAGGCGACGCCAGGUAGCCGGCCUGAGAGGGUGACCGGCCACACUGGGACUGAGACACGGUCCAGACUCCUACGGGAGGCAGCAGUGGGGAAUAUUGCACAAUGGGCGCAAGCCUGAUGCAGCGACGCCGCGUGAGGGAUGACGGCCUUCGGGUUGUAAACCUCUUUCAGUAGGGAAGAAGCCGCAAGGUGACGGUACCUGCAGAAGAAGCGCCGGCUAACUACGUGCCAGCAGCCGCCGUAAAAC